CCUCCUCUCUUGUUUCUCACUCUCCCUUUCCUCUCUCGUUUCCCACUUUCCCACUUUCCCUCUCACUCUCUGACUCCCCCUCUACCUUAAUCGAGAUCCCCUUAGACACGUCUGCCACCACUAGGAAGCCUUCCACAUCGUGGCCGAGGAGGUUGACAUUAUUUUCAUAGAGGGUGAUGUGGUCGCCGCAAGCAAGGACGCAACCUAGGGUUUCAGUGGCGGAGAAGCAUAGGGACACUGCUUUCGUCCUCCGCUCCCUGCUCUACGUCACUAUGGCGACCCUCAUUUCCAGGGUUUCGGGGCCACUCUCCAAUGGGUUUCUAAGGUUGGCCUUGAUGGACGUGAUUGUGAAUCCCGUGGUGAGAUUCAAUUACUUCAACAACCUCGUUGACAUGGAGCGAUGCAUGAAUGGGACGAGGAAGAUAGUGGAGAUCUUGGGGAGCAGGGCUUUGAGGGAUUUCAAGUUUAGCAACUGGUUCGGGGAGCGAGACUUUAGGUUCAUUGGCCUUGCUUUGCCACUUCACCAGACCGACUUCCCUAGUAUGUCGUAUUUCUAUUGCUGGACAGUGAGCUCCAUAUGGCACUACCAUGGAGGCUGCCACUAUGAUGAGCAUUUUUACUUCAGGGUCGAGGAUGGAGAGGACGACAGUAGCGAUGCCAGGGUCAGAACAAUUUGAUUACCACAAUCCCUUUUCUUUAUCGAGUGCUUUCUUGACUUGUCAGAGAGGUCACCAAGAAUAACACAAGGAACAUGCAGCCACCAUUUGUUAUCUUUCCAUGGAAAAAAAUUUCGGAAUGAGGCCCUACGUAAUCUACUCGAAUUCCCUGGUAUUUUUGUGCUUAUGAUUGUCAUUCCAUCUGUUGCAACCGAAAGGGCUAGUGCCAAGUUUGUUUCCACCCUUUUUCAAUACAGAAAAUGGUGAAGGAAUCAACAACAAGCCCUGCAUAUUUCUCUUGAGACUUCUAAUGAGUCAGUAUACCCUAACUGGAAUUGAUGCAUCAGCUCAUAUGACAGAGGAAACCAAGGAUGUUGUAAUAGUUUUAUGGUGUUCUACUAAGCUUUGAGUCACUAAGCCUAGCUUAAAUUUUAGUUCAAUUUGGUUGGACGACUUCUUGGCCCUAGGGGUAAUUCACUAAAGUGAGUGGAGGCUACCACAGGUUGUCGUGUAUUUAUCAGAGGAAAAGGUUCAAUAAAAGAACUAGAUAAGGAAGAGUUGUUAUGAGGAAGGCCAGCUUACGAACACUUAAAUGAAUCACUACACAUUUUGGUUGAGGCUGAGUUACCUGUCAAUGUUGUUGAUAUAAGGUCGAGGCAAGCACAGGAAAUCAUAGAAGAACUACUCAAACCCAUGGCCUCUGCCGUCUCCGUCGUGCCAGAGAGAGAGGUGGUGAUGUCUUCAAUUAGAUUCCUAUGGAUCCUGAUGGUGUCUUUGACGGAAUCAUGCACGUUAAGCCAACCGCAGAAGUUAUCAAUGUACGAUGUUCUGAUGGAGUACGGGUUCCCGGUGGGUCUUCUUCCCAAGGGAGCCAUAGGGUAUUCACUUAACAAAGUCAGCGGUGAGUUCGCAGUGUAUUUCCAAGGAGUGUGCAGCUUCGACAUAGAGUCCUACAUGUUCAAGUACAAAUCCACCAUCACGGGUGUCGUCUCCAAGGGCAAGCUCUAUAAUCUCAAAGGUGUCACCGUCAAAAUCUUGCUCCUUUGGCUCAACAUCGUCGAGGUCUUUCGUCAGGGGAAUGAUAUUUACUUCUCUGUCGGAAUCUCUUCCGCUGAUUUUGGCAUUGAGAAUUUCCUCGAGAGCCCCUAGUGUGGUUGUGGUUUCAAUUGCAAAACACUACCCUUAAACCGUGACGUUUCCGUUUCCUCAAUUUAAUUACACUUUUUUUAUGAUUCAAUUGCCGAACGGAUUAUUGGGUUCAGUUGCAAACUAUAGAUCUAUCUAGUGUAUCUAUCAUCUUCUUCUUCUUUUUUUAUGCUUUUUAAGUUAAUAAUUAGUCCUACUUUUUAUUAUCGGGGCAUUGUUUAUGUGUAUAAAGAUUGUGUUUUGAUCUUCACCCUUUUUGUUGCCAGAUGACUACAACAAUUGCUAUUAAAGAUGUGAGAAGGGAGGUGAAAAUACUUCGAGCUUUGAAUGGACACAACAAUCUGAUCCAGUUCUAUGAUGCAUUUGAAGAUCAAGACAAUGUCUACAUUAUAAUGGAGUUAUGUGAAGGGGGAGAGCUCUUAGAUAUGAUAUUAUCAAGAGGAGGGAAAUACUUAGAAGAUGAUGCAAAGGCUGUCAUGGUACAGAUACUUAAUGUUGCUGCAUUUUGUCAUCUUCAGGGUGUGGUACACCGAGAUCUUAAGCCAGAGUUUGCUGAUAUAGUUACCAGAUACCACAGGGAUAAACAAAUCAUACUUGUGGCGGUGCUGAUAUUUGGUUUGGUUUGGUGAUCAAACAAUAGUGAUAUCUUUUGCUCUCCAGGAUCCUACUGCCCGACUACAACACGCAAAGUUUCUUGUGACAGUAGAAGGGUUGAAUGAUGAUUUGAAGAGGACUUGAUAGAGGUGGUGGAUCUAAUGGGGCACAACAAAACUUUCAAGAAUUGGUCGGCACUACUAGGGUCCACGAGCCCAUCGUAGCCACCAAGGGUAAAUUAUACGCUAAUCAUUAAAUGUGUUAGACUUUAUACAUUACUGGCACCAAUGGUUCUGUAUCAGGGCAGAGUAACCCUGGAUACCCUAUCACCACAGGUUAUGAAGGAGUAUCUUGACCAUUAGAUGAUAUGACAUUCAGUCGAGACAAGGCAGCUUUAGCUGUGGCUCAAAAGGUUUUCAGGGGUUUGUAUGAUAAUGCAUCAAACAACAUUCAUGUAACUGCUCAUCUUGCUAUCCUGAAGAACACUUGGGUUAUCACAUAGGAAUUCAAGCUGGGUCAAGUCCGUAGCCAGAUUCAGGUUUGGAACUUAUCCAAAUUCAAUUAGUUAUAGUUUUUAUCUUUCUUUAUAUUAAUCCAUAAAAAGUGUUUUAAUUAUCUGCUUUUGCUUCUUUGGUCCGUCACACGUGCUUGCUUCUUUGGUCUUUUUGGUGAGUGAAAAAAACCAGAGUGAGAGAUCUUUUGUAGAUGCAACCAUAGAAUAAAUAAACUAAACUUUUAACAAGAUUCAACUUAAAGAAAAAAAAACAACUUUAAUUUCUAAGACGAUUCUAUAGAUAAUUACCUUAGAAAGUACUAUAUAUUCUAAGACGGUCGUAGCACAACCGUUUUAGAAUGUAGUGCAUUCUAAGUCGGUCUUGUGCUACGACCAUCUUAGAAUGUAGUACAAUCUUAGUUGGUCUUUGAGUCUGGACCAUCUAAGAAUGUAUAGUACAUUCUAAGAUGGUCGUGCUUAACCGUCGUCGUAGACCCAUUAGUUUUCUAGGACAAGUGCUACAACGACAUUACGUAAUCGACAUAGUAUGUUUAAAAUAACCGAUAUAAAUUGUGUUUUUUUAGUAGUGUCAAGAGAUGCAGUGGGGUCUUCCACUUACCCGUUCUUUGAUUUCAACAGUAAUAUGCAUGACAAAUAUUUUCACUUUGUACAAUUAAAAAAAUCGAAAUACAAUAUUUCCAUUUUCCUUAAUUUUUUGAAAAAAAACAUGGAUUUUUGUGCAAUAGUGGAAGCUAGCUCUUUUAUGAAAACAAAAGAUUAAGCCAAUUUCUUUUGUACUCUUGUAAAUACACGAGGAACUGCGGGAGUAUGGAGAAUUUUGGCGCUGAAUGAGGCUGGUGGAUGGAGUAUGGAGAAUUUUGGCGUUGAAUGAGGCUGGUGGAUGGAAGGAUAGGACCACACUGGAAGAUAUGAACUUGGUGGUGCGAGCCAGUUUCAAAGGAUGAAAAUUCUUAUUCUUGUCUGACUUGAAGGAAGAGGUUGUUUUAAAGAGGUGUUGCUAGCUCGGUAUUGGGGGUUUAUGCCUUCGGCAUGGUAAAGUCAUCUUAAUUUCUUGUUCAAAUGUAACAUUAACUGUAUCAUUUGCUUUUGUUUAAAGAUAUAAUGGAUCUACUAAAUUUACUUUCAAGAAGGGUAAAAUCAAUAAUUUUAGACAACUCAA